AGUGUUCCACGUGGAACUUCCAGGCAGGGCACUGGGGCACAGUAGGAGGAACCCAGAAGAUGCUGCCUCUCCUGAUCAUCUGUCUCCUGCCUGCCAUUGAAGGGAAGAACUGCCUCCGCUGCUGGCCAGAACUGUCUGCCUUGAUAGACUAUGACCUGCAGAUCCUCUGGGGGACCCCAGGGCCACCCACAGAACUUUCUCAAAGCAUUCACUCCCUGUUCCUAGAGGAUAAUAAUUUUCUCAAACCCUGGUACCUUGUCGUGACCAUUUGGAAGAAGAAACAGCCAAAUUCUUCACUCAAGUACACCAAGCCAUUAAAACGUUACGAGAUGUAAAACAGUACUUCUGGAAGAGAUCCACAUGCACAAGAUUCUCUUUACUGAGAGGUUGAAUAAGAUAUCUGAUGGGCUGAAGGAGAAGGACCUCAGUUUCUCUACCUUCUCACCCUCCCUGGCAGCCUGCAAUGAGUCCUGUGCAUAUAGUCCACACUGAAGGUCACCAGCUGUGCUGACUGCAGGACUCACUUCCUCUCCUGCAAUGACCCCACUUUCUGCCCAGCAGCACCUUCUGGGAUUUCUUGAUGUCCUCAUGUCAAGCUCCAGAGCCUUGGAGGCAUCUGCCUGUAGGACAUCACUCGUGGAGGCCUCUUGGUUCUCAGAGAUGCCAUAUGUGCUGGGCACACAGCGUGCUCACAGGAACCGGCGGACCUCCCUGUGGGCUGUGAGUCUCAGCAGUGCUCUACUCCUGGCCAUAGCUGGAGGUGGUAUAUCUUUUACUGGCAAAGGAAGAAGGAGGCAGUAAAGAGGAACAGGGCAGCCCGCAUGUCUUCCAGAAGUGAACAGAGGCCGCAGCUACCACCAUCACAAAGUUCACUCAUCUCUGGGUCCCGGUGACCCCAUCCCCCCAUACCCUCCAUUCUGGGUCCUGGGGCCCCAAAGCUCUGAGGCCUAGGAGACUGCGCUGUCUCAUGGUUUGCCUACUCCUACACCUUUGUAAAGAGUCUCUUCAUUAAAACCCCUCUUCAUAGCCUAG
rnacentral:lncRNA from 1 species